rnacentral:rRNA from 1 species
AACGAACGCUGGCGGCAUGCCUAACACAUGCAAGUCGAACGAGACCUUCGGGUCUAGUGGCGCACGGGUGCGUAACGCGUGGGAACCUGCCCUUAGGUUCGGAAUAACUCCCCGAAAGGGGUGCUAAUACCGGAUAAUGUCUUCGGACCAAAGAUUUAUCGCCUUUGGAUGGGCCCGCGUUGGAUUAGCUAGUUGGUAGGGUAAAAGCCUACCAAGGCGACGAUCCAUGGCUGGUCCGAGAGGAUGAUCAGCCACACUGGGACUGAGACACGGCCCAGACUCCUACGGGAGGCAGCAGUGGGGAAUAUUGGACAAUGGGCGAAAGCCUGAUCCAGCAAUGCCGCGUGAGUGAUGAAGGCCUUAGGGUUGUAAAGCUCUUUUACCCGGGAUGAUAAUGACAGUACCGGGAGAAUAAGCUCCGGCUAACUCCGUG